UACGGGGGGAGCAAGCGUUGUUCGGAUUUACUGGGCGUAAAGGGCGCGUAGGCGGCCUGUGCAAGUCAGUUGUGAAAUCUCCGGGCUUAACUCGGAACGGUCAACUGAUACUGCUCGGCUAGAGUGCGGAAGGGGCAACUGGAAUUCUUGGUGUAGCGGUGAAAUGCGUAGAUAUCAAGAGGAACACCUGCGGCGAAGGCGGGUUGCUGGGCCGACACUGACGCUGAUGCGCGAAAGCCAGGGGAGCGAACGGG
rnacentral:rRNA from 1 species